rnacentral:tRNA from 1 species
GGUAGUUCAAUGGCUACAGCUUCUGCUUCAUAAGCAGAAGGCCAUGGGUUCAAUCCCAGGCCCAUCC